AUUGAACGCUGGCGGCAUGCCUUACACAUGCAAGUCGAACGGCAGCGGGGACUUCGGUCCGCCGGCGAGUGGCGAACGGGUGAGUAAUGUAUCGGAACGUACCAUUCAGUGGGGGAUAACUAUCCGAAAGGAUAGCUAAUACCGCAUAUUCUGUGAGCAGGAAAGCAGGGGAUCGCAAGACCUUGCGCUGAUUGAGCGGCCGAUAUCAGAUUAGCUAGUUGGUGAGGUAACGGCUCACCAAGGCUACGAUCUGUAGCGGGUCUGAGAGGAUGAUCCGCCACACUGGGACGGAGAAACGGCCCAGACUCCGACGGGAGGCAGCAGUGGGGAAUUUUGGACAAUGGGCGCAAGCCUGAUCCAGCCAUGCCGCGUGAGUGAAGAAGGCCUUCGGGUUGUAAAGCUCUUUCGGCCGGGAAGAAAUCGCAUCAGCUAAUACCUGGUGUGGAUGACGGUACCGGAAUAAGAAGCACCGGCUAACUACGUGCCAGCCGCCGCCGUAAGAC
rnacentral:rRNA from 1 species